rnacentral:rRNA from 1 species
UACGGAGGGUGCAAGCGUUGUCCGGAAUCACUGGGCGUAAAGGGCGCGUAGGCGGCUCAUGAAGGCUGUGGUGAAAGUCCGGGGCUCAACCUCGGAUCGGCCGUGGCGACUCGUGGGCUGGAGCACUGUAGAGGCGGGUGGAAUUCCGGGUGUAGCGGUGGAAUGCGUAGAGAUCCGGAAGAACACCGGUGGCGAAGGCGGCUCACUGGCUCAUUACUGACGCUCAGGCGCGACAGCGUGGGGAUCAAACAGG